rnacentral:piRNA from 1 species
UGCAGACAUAGGUCCGACACUGCUAA